AAGUGUGAAGCAAAUAUUGCAAUCAGUUUCGACCUGAUCUUAGAUAAACUUUACCUUAUCCUCACUUU
rnacentral:tRNA from 1 species